rnacentral:rRNA from 1 species
GACGACCGCUGGCGGCGUGCCUAAUACAUGCAAGUAGAACGCUGAAGGAGGAGCUUGCUUCUCUGGAUGAGUUGCGAACGGGUGAGUAACGCGUAGGUAACCUGCCUGGUAGCGGGGGAUAACUAUUGGAAACGAUAGCUAAUACCGCAUAAUAGUAGAUGUUGCAUGACAUUUGCCUAAAAGGUGCAAUUGCAUCACUACCAGAUGGACCUGCGUUGUAUUAGCUAGUUGGUGGGGUAACGGCUCACCAAGGCGACGGUACAUAGCCGACCUGAGAGGGUGAUCGGGCAAAAUGGGACUGGGACACGGCCCAGACUUCUAAGGGAGGCAGCAGUAGGGAAUCUUCGGCAAUGAACGGAAGUCUGACCGAGCAACGCCGCGUGAGUGGAGAAGGGUUUCGGAUCGUAAAGCUCUGUUGUAAGGGAAGAACGAGUGUGAGAGUGGAAAGUUCACACUGUGACGGUAUCUUACCAGAAAGGGACGGCUAACUACGUG